rnacentral:rRNA from 1 species
GAACACGUGUAGAACCUGCCCCGAACUUUGGGAUAACAGUUGGAAACGACUGCUAAUACCGAAUACCUCCAGAGGGGCUCAUGCUCCUUUGAAGAAAGAAUUUCGGUUCGGGAGGGCCUCGCGGCCUAUCAGCUAGUUGGUGGGGUAACGGCCUACCAAGGCAUCGACGGGUAGCUGGUCUGAGAGGAUGAUCAGCCACACUGGAACUGAGACACGGUCCAGACUCCUACGGGAGGCAGCAGUGGGGAAUCUUGUGCAAUGGGCGAAAGCCUGACACAGCCACGCCGCGUGCGGGAAGAAGGCCUUCGGGUCGUAAACCGCUUUCAGCAGGAACGAAAACGACGGUACCUGCAGAAGAAGGAGCGGCCAACUACGUGCCAGCAGCCGCGGUGACACGUAGGCUCCAAGCGUUGUCCGGAUUUAUUGGGCGUAAAGAGCUCGUAGGCGGUUCAGCAAGUCGGGUGUGAAAACUAUGGGCUUAACCCAUAGCCUGCACCCGAAACUGCUGUGACUAGAGUUUGGUAGGGGAGCGGGGAAUUCCUGGUGUAGCGGUGAAAUGCGCAGAUAUCAGGAGGAACACCGGUGGCGAAGGCGCCGCUCUGGGCCAAUACUGACGCUGAGGAGCGAAAGCGUGGGUAGCAAACAGGAUUAGAUACCCUGGUAGUCCACGCCGUAAACGUUGGGCACUAGGUGUGGGUCUCUACUAACGAGAUCCGCGCCGUCGCUAACGCAUUAAGUGCCCCGCCUGGGGAGUACGGUCGC